GUCCUGACGCUCCGAUGGCGAUCUUGUUUCUCUCAGACUCGGGCAUGGACGGGUCUGAGGACAGACAGGUAGACAGGUUAGCAGAGAGACAGGUUAAGAGACAGACAGGUAGACAGGUUAAGAGACAGACAGGUAGACAGGUUAAGAGACAGGUAGACAGGUUAAGAGACAGACAGGUAGACAGGUUAGCAGAGAGACAGGUUAAGAGACAGGAAGACAGGUUAAGAGACAGACAGGUAGACAGGUUAGCAGAGAGACGGGUUAAGACACAGGUAGACAGGUUAGCAGAGAGACAGGUAGACAGGUUAAGAGACAGGUAGACAGGUGAGCAGACAGACAGGUAUUUACCCCAGUCAGUAACCAGAGGUUUACUCAGACUCAUGUGCUCC